ACUGUUCGCUUAAAUAACAAAGGUUAACGCUAAGCUGCGUUGGUGUUCCUCAAAACCAUUAUGACUGAGUUUUAGGGUGGACUCCCCACUUCAGGCACAGCCAUCAUCACAGAAGAGCAUGCAGCCAUGUGGACUGACGGGCGCUACUUUCUCCAGGCUGCCAAGCAAAUGGACAGCAAUUGGACACUUAUGAAGAUGGGUCUGAAGGACACACCAACUCAGGAAGACUGGCUGGUGAGUGUGCUUCCUGAAGGAUCCAGGGUUGGUGUGGACCCCUUGAUCAUUCCUACAGAUUAUUGGAAGAAAAUGGCCAAAGUUCUGAGAAGUGCCGGCCACCACCUCAUUCCUGUCAAGGAGAACCUCGUUGACAAAAUCUGGACAGACCGUCCUGAGCGCCCUUGCAAGCCUCUCCUUACACUGGGCCUGGAUUACACAGGCAUCUCCUGGAAGGACAAGGUUGCAGAUCUUCGGUUGAAAAUGGCUGAGAGGAACGUCAUGUGGUUUGUGGUCACUGCCUUGGAUGAGAUUGCGUGGCUAUUUAAUCUCCGAGGAUCAGAUGUGGAGCACAAUCCAGU
rnacentral:sRNA from 1 species